CUGUGUUAGGGAUUGAAGCAGGUGUUUGAGCUCUUUUGUUCCUUUUUUAAAACAAAAAGCGAGCGCAAAAAGCCCGACGUUAG
rnacentral:misc_RNA from 1 species